AUGAACGCUGGCGGCGUGCCUAAUACAUGCAAGUCGAGCGAACAGACGAGGAGCUUGCUCCUCUGACGUUAGCGGUGGACGGGUGAGUAACACGUGGAUAACCUACCUAUAAGACUGGGAUAACUUCGGGAAACCGGAGCUAAUACCGGAUAAUAUAUUGAACCGCAUGGUUCAAUAGUGAAAGACGGUUUUGCUGUCACUUAUAGAUGGAUCCGCGCCGCAUUAGCUAGUUGGUAAGGUAACGGCUUACCAAGGCAACGAUGCGUAGCCGACCUGAGAGGGUGAUCGGCCACACUGGAACUGAGACACGGUCCAGACUCCUACGGGAGGCAGCAGUAGGGAAUCUUCCGCAAUGGGCGAAAGCCUGACGGAGCAACGCCGCGUGAGUGAUGAAGGUCUUCGGAUCGUAAAACUCUGUUAUUAGGAAAGAACAAAUGUGUAAGUAACUAUGCACGUCUUGACGGUACCUAAUCAGAAAGCCACGGCUAACUACGUG
rnacentral:rRNA from 1 species